AUCUGAACUUGAAUCUGGUUAUGUAUGACUUGUGAUGAUAAAGUUUGAGCUAGAACUUCAUUUACUAUAAUACUUAGUGAGGCCAAGGAAGGUGUAGAGAAAAUGGACCAUGCCUAACUCAACUAAAAGCUAACUCAACUAAAAGCUAGCUCAAAUGGGAGGAUUGCUCAGGUCUUUAUAAUUUGACCUCUUGCCUUAUCUCUUGAUAGAUGUGGGAUAACACACCCUUUACGCCAGACAAGAACUUUGGAGCUUGAAGUUUGCACUUUGUAAACAUGAACAUCUACGGGUGACUCAACAUUGCGAUAAAGAUAGGCUCAAAUACCAUGUAGAAGAAAUGGAUCGGACUUAAUGCAAUCCCAAAAGGUAGUUUAGGGCUAACAUUGGAGCGUGAAACAUUUAUGAGAGGUCCAAGCUGCCUUUUAGGGUUGAGGUUGGUCCAAUCCAUUUUCUCUACAUG
rnacentral:misc_RNA from 1 species